AGGGCGCACGGUGGAUGCCUUGGCACUAGAAGCCGAUGAAGGACGUGACUAACGACGAAAUGCUUUGGGGAGCUGUAAGUGAGCAAUGAUCCAGAGAUGUCCGAAUGGGGGAACCCGGCAGGUAAUGCCUGUCACUCAUUACUGUUAAGGUAAUGUAGAGGAAGACGCAGUGAACUGAAACAUCUAAGUAGCUGUAGGAAGAGAAAGCAAAAGCGAUUGCCUUAGUAGCGGCGAGCGAAACGGCAAGAGGGCAAACCGAAGAGUUUACUCUUCGGGGUUGUAGGACUGCAACGUGGACUUAAAGAUUAUAGAAGAACUACCUGGGAAGGUAGGCCAAAGAGAGUAAUAGCCUCGUAUUCGAAAUAGUCUUUAUACCUAGCAGUAUCCUGAGUACGGCGAGACACGAGAAAUCUCGUCGGAAUCUGGGAGGACCAUCUCCCAACCCUAAAUACUCUCUAGUGACCGAUAGUGAACCAGUACCGUGAGGGAAAGGUGAAAAGCACCCCGGGAGGGGAGUGAAAUAGAACCUGAAACCGUGUGCCUACAACAAGUUCGAGCCCGUUAAUGGGUGAGAGCGUGCCUUUUGUAGAAUGAACCGGCGAGUUACGAUAUGAUGCGAGGUUAAGUUGAAGAGACGGAGCCGUAGGGAAACCGAGUCUUAAUAGGGCGCAUUAGUAUCAUGUCGUAGACCCGAAACCAUGUGACCUACCCAUGAGCAGGUUGAAGGUGAGGUAAAACUCACUGGAGGACCGAACCAGGGCACGUUGAAAAGUGCUUGGAUGACUUGUGGGUAGCGGAGAAAUUCCAAACGAACUUGGAGAUAGCUGGUUCUCUCCGAAAUAGCUUUAGGGCUAGCGUCGAUGUUAAGUCUCUUGGAGGUAGAGCACUGUUUGGGUGAGGGGUCCAUCCCGGAUUACCAAUCUCAGAUAAACUCCGAAUGCCAAUGAGAUAUAAUCGGCAGUCAGACUGCGAGUGCUAAGAUCCGUAGUCGAAAGGGAAACAGCCCAGACCACCAGCUAAGGUCCCAAAAUAUAUGUUAAGUGGAAAAGGAUGUGGGGUUGCACAGACAACUAGGAUGUUAGCUUAGAAGCAGCUAUUCAUUCAAAGAGUGCGUAAUAGCUCACUAGUCGAGUGACCCUGCGCCGAAAAUGUACCGGGGCUAAAACAUAUUACCGAAGCUGUGGAUACCUUUAUAGGUAUGGUAGGAGAGCGUUCUAUGUGCGAAGAAGGUGUACCGUGAGGAGUGCUGGAGCGCAUAGAAGUGAGAAUGCCGGUAUGAGUAGCGAAAGACAGGUGAGAAUCCUGUCCACCGUAAGACUAAGGUUUCCAGGGGAAGGCUCGUCCGCCCUGGGUUAGUCGGGACCUAAGGAGAGACCGAAAGGUGUAUCCGAUGGACAACAGGUUGAUAUUCCUGUACUAGAGUAUAUAGUGAUGGAGGGACGCAGUAGGCUAACUAAACCAGACGAUUGGAAGUGUCUGGCCAAGCAGUGAGGUGUGAUAUGAGUCAAAUGCUUAUAUCUUUAACAUUGAGCUGUGAUGGGGAGCGAAGUUUAGUAGCGAAGUUAGUGAUGUCACACUGCCGAGAAAAGCUUCUAGCGUUAAUUAUACUCUACCCGUACCGCAAACCGACACAGGUAGUCGAGGCGAGUAGCCUCAGGUGAGCGAGAGAACUCUCGUUAAGGAACUCGGCAAAAUGGCCCCGUAACUUCGGGAGAAGGGGCGCUGACUGAUGGUCAGCCGCAGUGAAUAGGCCCAAGCAACUGUUUAUCAAAAACACAGCUCUCUGCUAAAUCGUAAGAUGAUGUAUAGGGGGUGACGCCUGCCCGGUGCUGGAAGGUUAAGAGGAGUGCUUAGCGUAAGCGAAGGCAUGAAUUGAAGCCCCAGUAAACGGCGGCCGUAACUAUAACGGUCCUAAGGUAGCGAAAUUCCUUGUCGGGUAAGUUCCGACCCGCACGAAAGGCGUAAUGAUUUGGGCACUGUCUCAACGAGAGACUCGGUGAAAUUUUAGUACCUGUGAAGAUGCAGGUUACCCGCGACAGGACGGAAAGACCCCAUGGAGCUUUACUGCAGUUUGAUAUUGAGUAUCUGUACCACAUGUACAGGAUAGGUAGGAGCCUAUGACCUCGGGACGCCAGUUUCGAGUGAGGCGUUGUUGGGAUACUACCCUUGUGUUAUGGCUACUCUAACCCAGAUAGGUUAUCCCUAUCGGAGACAGUGUCUGACGGGCAGUUUGACUGGGGCGGUCGCCUCCUAAAAGGUAACGGAGGCGCCCAAAGGUUCCCUCAGAAUGGUUGGAAAUCAUUCGCAGAGUGUAAAGGUAUAAGGGAGCUUGACUGCGAGAGCUACAACUCGAGCAGGGACGAAAGUCGGGCUUAGUGAUCCGGUGGUUCCGUAUGGAAGGGCCAUCGCUCAACGGAUAAAAGCUACCCUGGGGAUAACAGGCUUAUCUCCCCCAAGAGUUCACAUCGACGGGGAGGUUUGGCACCUCGAUGUCGGCUCAUCGCAUCCUGGAGCGGAAGUACGUUCCAAGGGUUGGGCUGUUCGCCCAUUAAAGCGGUACGCGAGCUGGGUUCAGAACGUCGUGAGACAGUUCGGUCCUUAUCUGUCGCAGGCGGAAGAUAUUUGAGAGGAGCUGUCCUUAGUACGAGAGGACCAGGAUGGACAUACCGAUGGUGUAUCAGUUGUCACACCAGUGGCACGGCUGAGUAGCCAAGUAUGGAAGGGAUAAACGCUGAAAGCAUCUAAGUGUGAAGCCCACCUCAAGAUAAGAUAUCUCAUAUCGU
rnacentral:rRNA from 1 species